UUUUGGUCGUCCUGGUCGAUUCCUUCGUCGUGCUUGUCUGUGCUCCGCCCCGCACGCGCAAUAAUGGGCCAAGCCCAAUGAAACACAGGAACCCUCGCUUCCCCUAAGUCCCUAACCACGUUAGAUUCCGAGAAAUCCGAGUAACCCGCAGACCCUCGUGCUCCUCCUCUAGAGAUCUUAGCGUGCGUGGCCGGGGAGGAUGCCGACCGAAAGGAAUGGGCCGGUCUCCCGACGGCGAGGUAGGAGGGACGUAGGAGCGCGGCGCCAUCGGUCACGGCCCCGGCGGCAGCGACGACCCCAUCCAAGUACACAUCUGGCAGGGCUGGAGAUCUCCGGUCAAGGGUCGCAGGACGAGGAGAGGAGGAGCGCCGCCGCCUCGCGCUGCUCGUCGACUCGUCCGCACUGGAUGACCUCGUGUACUCACUUGAGGUGCCUAUCACGUGCAAGAUCGCCGGGCGGAAUCGAGCGAUGCGGACGGCGCCGCGACGGAGUGGUGUUCAGGUCCACACGUGAGGCGCAGAGACUGGCACUCCGCAUACCAGCGCGUGCAGCUGAUAGCAGUUUGGUGAGCGCUGACGUACGUCGAAGUGUUAUGGGUGAGGCCGACUGAGACCAGAUCCAGUGCAUCCUUAAUGGUCCAGAUCAAGACCUCUGUUAAUGUUUGCGAAAAAUCACUGUGGAGAAGAUCGUGUGAGACUCGGAUUGGAGUGUUUUCGUUGUGUGCUUCCAACAUGUGUGCAGGAGACCAGGUUUGAGAGGUUUGGCGGGAGAGAGGAUUUCUUCAUUGGACUAGGUGAUCAUAUUUUUCUAUUUUACACAAAAGAUGAAUAUGUGCAAGCAUAGCUUAUGCAUGUGAGUGAGCAAUUGAAAUGCCACAUGGAAAACUACUUCUGUUGAUACUUAUGAUGCAGAGAAUGCACCAGGUUCGGCAGGGAGAGGAAAUCAGUUUGAUUAUGUCCGCAGCAGAGUCCAAGACCAUGGGUAAAGAUAAUUUAAUCAAUCUGUUGUUUUGGUUUGUUUCUUGCAUUACCGGGAUUUAAAAAAAUUGUGAAAUUGUGUUGUUCAUUGUGUCAAUGCAUAUGCGUAAGUGCACAUACAAAUCCCUUUUCAAUGUACAAUGAUUCCAAGGUCAAGAUGCACAGCUUCGCGAAAGUUGCCUGAGUUGCAGGCCUGUUGUGCUGCCGCCAACAUACCACCAUCCUUUCAGCAUACCAUCUGUCACUCCAGCUCCUAUCACCUCAUUGAGUGCUCACACAAGCUUUGUGACAUGCUCUCAUGUUGCCCCAAGUGUACCGAUGUGUCAUCCACGUGUGGAUUAUGCUAAUACCUUGUCACUAGAUGUUCAGCUCGUCGUCAUACUAUCAUAGUACUCCCUCUGUCCCAAAAUGUAAGGCGUCUAAGGAGUAGUCAAAAGUCAAUAUUUUUUUAAGUUUGACCAAAUUUAUACAUAAAAAUAUAAACAUUUACAGUAGUGAAUCAACAUGAAUAGAUUCACCAUAAAAUAUAUUUUCUUAAUAUGUCCAUUCGAUAUUGUAGAUGUAAAUAUAUGUCCAUUCGAUAUUUUUUUAAAUAUUUUGUCAAAGUUAAUAAAGUUUGACUUUUGACCAGUCCUUAGAUGCCUUACAUUUUGGGACGGAGGGAGUAUAACUCAUGUUCAUGAUACUAAUAUUUUCUGGUGCUUUGAUCUAUUAUCAGGGAUUUCUCUGGUCAGACACGAACAUAUGGCUCACCCAGGUGCGGAUUAUGCUAAUAUCUGGUCAUUGAAGAUUUACUCACAAAGACACACGCACAUGCUUUGCAAAUGCAAGAAUAUGUCUAUUAGGUUAAUGAAACUGCAUUCUAUAGAUUAGUUUUAGUGGGUUGCUUUUUUGUUUUUGUUUAGGUGGGUCAUGAACUAUUGUUUGAUUUUCUAACACAAAGAUGGUUGGUUGGUUGGCAUUGAAUUAUAUAUGUUUGUUAUUUCGCAUUCCAGGCCUCUAGGUAAUUUGACAAGCCAACUAAUUUAAUUUAUCAGUAGGCGAGACAUGUUACUGUUGAAAGUUGAAUUUAAUUUUUGUUCUGAUUUGUAACCAUGAAAGUCAUAUAUGCUCAGAAUUAUUUAUUUUGAACUGAAAUAUUGUUAUAUUAUACAUGCCCCAAUUCUAGAGACACAGGUACAUAAACAAAUGAAUAUAGCUAUUUUAUUUUUAUGCCUCUUGACGAAUAUUACAAAAUUAAAUUUACAAAAAUGAUGUUGGUUAACUCUGUUCAACUGGGUUCUUAUGACAACAAAUGCUUGAAUGCGAAAUUGUACUUCACUCCUCCCAGACAUGAAUCUUCUCAUGACAACAGAUGCUUGGACGCUUUUUUACUGCUUAUGGUUUGCUUCAGUUCCAUCUACUGGUCAGCUGCUAUCUUGCAGAUUUUUAUGUCGCCUAGCUUCCAUGCCAGGAAAGAUGAUUUCGAUGCACAACGCAUAUUUGGUGAAAUACAGGUACUUGAGUUGUCCCUCUGUAAGUUCCUGUGCAAUUUAUUUAUCAUGCUGAUUGUAUGAAGUUUGGAUAGUGGCCAUAGGCAAGGGGAAGAGGGAGCUGUCAGGUGUUAAUUUCGAGAGUGGGUAUAUGCAAGGUAUCAUGUGAAUUACGUUGUUGAUUAGUAGUUGCUUCCAGACGGGAUAUGGUUAUUUAUCUCAUACACCUACAGGCAAGUUAGUAUUUACUAUCUUAGAACCUUGUAACAUUUCAGAUUAUGAUAUAAUUUUAGUGGAAAUUUUCAUAUACUGGUUAGAGCCUUGGUCCAGAAGUAGAGAUUCUGAACUAAAUCAAAUGUAAUUUUGUUACAUGGUUGCAUAGGGCACUUAGAUGGAGGAAACUUAGUUUACCACGGUCAGUCCAGACUGAAACCAUAUGUAUUUUUCUUAAAUAUACCCAUCCUUAAAAGUCUGUGUUUCGCAUACUUUUAUAGUGGUUUAGCACGACAACUUUGGAAAUGGCGGCAGGCGGGGUUCUUCUGUGACUGCCUCUGGACGGCAGGCUGGGUCGACAUCUCGUGGCGCUCUUGCCAGUCAGUUGCUCUUCUUAUUUCGUCUCCGCAUGAUGUGCCUUCUGUGUUCCUGUUGUCCUUUAGGUUUCCAAGUUGUUGGUUUAAAUUAUCACUUUUGAUAUCAGUAUGUUUUCUUUUGUUCCUUCACUAGGCAGUACAAUAGUCAUUUUGAUAUUGCACCUCCGUCUAAAUGGUCCAUAAAUCCUCUUGAACUAAAUAGCACUUACUAUGCAGGUAUGGUUAUUAUUCUAGACCCUUGUGUUGUGUUUUGCUUGAUGGGUAGUGACAAAUUAGUGAAAUCAGAAUGCCCAGAUAAAUCCAUCUGCAGAACAAGUUUAUAAAUAGAUGGUGCAUGUCAUGAGCAAAUCAGUAUAUGCAUCUUACAGUUCUAUUGAUGCCCAAAAGCAACUUAUUUUUUACAAGGCAUCAUGCUGAUUUUCUUUAUAUGCAGAACAAAGUUCAGUAUAAUACCAUGUUUCCUUGUAACCGAAAUUUGUAACUUUGUUCAAGUUCAACGUUAAUUCAGUAUCCUUUUUCAGGAUGUAGAAUCUAGCAAGACCGACAAUGAAAGAGCCCACUGAACCCAUAUGCAGUAACCUCAUUUUCCUUAAUGUUAAAACUAGCAAGGGUGAAAGUUUAUUGAGUUUUGGAAUAUAUUAUUAGCAUGAUCCUUUUACAACAAAAAUUGAUUAAUAAUAUAUUCCAAGGAUCACUGCACAAGGAUUUGAAUUUCGACAUCGUCGACUUGCUCUAGCAGAAAGCAUGGCAAGGGGACCGCUCUGGCAGACAUGCAUCUCCAGUGACUCCAGGACCUCCCAAAUGCUUUUCUACCUCUUGCGAAAUCUUUCUUUGCUGCAAAUAUUGGCACUGUCCUCCCCAUUUUCUAGGCACAGCUCUAGGCCAAUGCUCCUAUAUUCUAUACAUAAACUUUUAUCUCAAAGUUUUGAUCUGAGCAACCUUGACUGACCAAAACAGAUGAAUGGCUGGUUUCACAUUAUUUAAUCGUCUAGAUCAUUUUCAAGCAUUAUUGGUUAUGAACUAACUUGCUCGUGAGAAGAGCCUUACAAGGAGAGAGAGGAAAACAGGUUACACACACAAACAACGGACAUGUUCAGGCUGGUACCUUUCGAUGUGCAUCAUAAUUUCAUUUAUGGAGCUCUUACUGCCAGUGUUAUUUAAGAUGUUCCCAAACAUGUAGACAUCUACUACUAUCCAGUAUCUAGAACGAGAUGAAAGAAGAGGUAAUAACCUAUCCCUUAUUGGCCAGCCAGGAAUAUUAUUAAAUCUGAACAUAUAUGCUCAGAGUGAUGCAUUACAUCGCACACCAGCUGAGCUCGCUGUUUUCUUCCACGCUCGGCUCAUCGAGUGUACACCUCACUCAUCAUUGGAUUCUUUAAAGCUACAAAGAUCUGUAAUGCCUUGAAGGCUACUGAACUUUGUUGUAAAUAUAUUCUGGAAAUUCGAUUGGAUUUGUGUCCGCUAAAUAAAUCAAAAUGUGCACCUGAUGCUGAUUUGGAGACAAAUACAGGGGCACACGAAGAGGAGUAUGCCUUUAAAAGGAAAUAUAUGCUGUGUUCUACUUGAACACAGUUUAAAGUUUUCGUUAUUCCACAAUAUCUCUGGCUAUGUUGUGAAUGAACAACCAGAUGGACUGUGUUGUACCUUCUGUAAAGUCAUCUGCCACAAUGGAUGAACGCAUGGCUUUCAGUUGCACUUACCAUUGCAGACGACAGUGAGAAGGUCUUUGCACGGUAUGUCAAGAAUUCCUUCAAUAUGCCCCGUAUCCGCACACUACUGCCUCAGUACCAAGUGUAAUGCCGCAUCAGGCUUUUGUAAGUUAGCGUAAGAGUUGGCACGUCCAGCAUCAGGCUAUUGUAGUUUCUUUGGCCAAUUAGAAUGGGAACAGAGACCAGAAACUAAAAUACUACAUUGUCUGUUUUUCAUCAUGUAGUCUUCCUUUUGUGUCAGAUUUUGCAAAUUGGAAGUAGUAUUCAUGCCGAUUCCUGGCAUUGUGCAAACUUGGGAGUCUCCUUUGUUUUCGUA